rnacentral:rRNA from 1 species
AAUUUUGGACAAUGGGGGCAACCCUGAUCCAGCCAUGCCGCGUGUGUGAAGAAGGUCUUCGGAUUGUAAAGCACUUUAAGUUGGGAGAAAGGGAAGUAAGUUAAUACCUUGCUGUUUUGACGUUACCGACAGAAUAAGCACCGGCUAACUCUGUGCCCGCAGCCGAGGUAAUACAGAGGGUCCAAGGGUUAAACGGAAUUACUGGGCGUAAAGCGCGCGUAGGUGGUUCAGUAAGAUGGGUGUGAAAUCCCCGGGCUUAACCUGGGAACUGCUUUCAUAACUGCUGAGCUAGAGUACGGUAGAGGGUAGUGGAAUUUCCUGUGUAGCGGUGAAAUGCGUAGAUAUAGGAAGGAACAUCAGUGGCGAAGGCGACCACCUGGGCUAAUACUGACACUGAGGUGCGAAAGCGUGGGGAGCAAAC